rnacentral:lncRNA from 1 species
UUAAAUUGGUUGAUAAUUUUUUUUAAAAAUAUGUUGUUUUUUAACAAAAAUAAAACGAAAUAUGGGCUAAUGGGCCGGCCCAACUUUUGUAUGGCCCAAAUGGGCUUGGGCCAAAAAAACCCGAGUGCAUUUUUUUAUUAGUUUUUUAGGCCCGAUCCGGCCCAAAAAUAUGGGCCAAUGGGCCGGCCCAUGAGCCCGGCCCAUUUUUGACAACUCUAAG